CCUACGGUGGACAGCAGUGGGGAAUAUUGGGCAAUGGGCGCAAGCCUGACCCAGCAACGCCGCGUGAAGGAAGAAGGCCCUCGGGUUGUAAACCUCUUUUGUCAGGGACGAAGUAACUGACGGUACCUCACGAAUAAGUCACGGCUAACUACGUGCCAGCAGCCGCGGUAAUACGUAGGUGGCAAGCGUUAUCCGGAUUUACUGGGUGUAAAGGGCGUGUAGGCGGGACUGCAAGUCAGAUGUGAAAUUCCAGGGCUCAACCCCGGAACUGCAUUUGAAACUGUGGUUCUUGAGUGCAGGAGAGGCAGGCGGAAUUCCUGGUGUAGCGGUGAAAUGCGUAGAUAUAAGGAGGAACACCAGUGGCGAAGGCGGCCUACUGGACAUUAACUGACGCUGAGGCGCGAAAGCGUGGGGAGCAAACAGGAUUAGAUACCCCAGUAGUC
rnacentral:rRNA from 1 species